ACAUGUCACAGUUCUACAAUGGUC
rnacentral:siRNA from 1 species